rnacentral:ncRNA from 14 species
AACUUAUCAAGAGUGGCGGAGGGACCUGACCCAAUGAAGCCCGGCAACCAGUUUAUUUGUAAACCACGGUGCUACAUUCAGCAGAGCAGCUUUUGUUCUGAAAGAUAAGUG